rnacentral:rRNA from 1 species
CCUACGGGUGGCAGCAGUGGGGAAUAUUGGACAAUGGGGGGAACCCUGAUCCAGCCAUGCCGCGUGUGUGAAGAAGGCCCUCGGGUUGUAAAGCACUUUCAGUGAGGAAGAACGCCUGGUGGUUAAUACCCAUCAGGAAAGACAUCACUCACAGAAGAAGCACCGGCUAACUCCGUGCCAGCAGCCGCGGUAAUACGGAGGGUGCGAGCGUUAAUCGGAAUUACUGGGCGUAAAGCGCGCGUAGGUGGCUUGAUAAGCCGGUUGUGAAAGCCCCGGGCUCAACCUGGGAACGGCAUCCGGAACUGUCAAGCUAGAGUGCAGGAGAGGAAGGUAGAAUUCCCGGUGUAGCGGUGAAAUGCGUAGAGAUCGGGAGGAAUACCAGUGGCGAAGGCGGCCUUCUGGACUGAAACUGACACUGAGGUGCGAAAGCGUGGGUAGCAAACAGGAUUAGAUAGCCGAGUAGUC